UUAUCAUGAUGAUUUGCUUUGGUCCGUGUUUAUGAAGUCCAAUGAUUUUAACUCAAAGCUCUGAGCUU